UGGCUCAGACGGUAAAGCGUCUACCUGCAACGUGGUAGACCCAGGUUCGAUCCCUGG
rnacentral:tRNA from 1 species